rnacentral:tRNA from 1 species
CGGGCUGUAGCGCAGCUUGGUAGCGCACCUGGUUUGGGACCAGGGGGUCGUCGGUUCAAAUCCGACCAGCCCGACGA